UGCGCUAAUACCGCAUAAUCUCUCAGGAGAAAAGCAGGGGAUCGCAAGACCUUGCGCUUUAGGAGCGGCCGAUGCCUGAUUAGCUUGUUGGUAAGGUAAAAGCUUACCAAGGCUUCGAUCAGUAGCUGGUCUGAGAGGACGACCAGCCACACUGGGACUGAGACACGGCCCAGACUCCUACGGGAGGCAGCAGUGGGGAAUUUUGGACAAUGGGGGAAACCCUGAUCCAGCCAUGCCGCGUGAGUGAAGAAGGCCUUCGGGUUGUAAAGCUCUUUCAGCCGGAACGAAACGGU
rnacentral:rRNA from 1 species